UACCAGCACCCCGAGUGGUCGGGACGUUUAUUGGGCCUAAAGCAUCCGUAGCCGGUUCUACAAGUCUUCCGAUUAAAUCCAACUGCUUAACAGGUGGGCUGCGGAAGAUACUAUAAGAGCUAGGAGGCGGGAGGAGGCAAGCGGUACUCGAUGGGUAGGGGUAAAAUCCGUUGAUCCAUUGAAGACCACCAGUGGCGAAGGCGGCUACCUGGACCGGUUCUGACGCUGA
rnacentral:rRNA from 1 species